rnacentral:lncRNA from 1 species
CAGUAGGGGGUGGCGCCGGGGAGUUAAGGAGCUGGGGCCGGACGUGUGGCACCAGGAAGAAGAAAGAAAAGGAGAGAGAAGAAGGAAGGAGGAAGAAGAAAGAAGAAGAAGGAAGGAAGAAAGGAAGGAAAAAGAAAACGGGGAGGGGAAAAGAGAAAGAAAAGAGAGGGACCGGCGGCACUUGCGGCACGCGGUCGGAGCACGCGCGCGGCGGUCUGACGAUGGCACGCGGCGAGAUUUACGGGCACAGAUAAAAAGGUAGGUGUCGGCAUGGGUGCCGGGACGGCGAAAUCGCCGGGGAGAUUUCCGAUUUCCGGGAGCUCAGCGGUAAAAAGAUUUUAAAGGCAAUUUUAAUGGGUGAUUUUAGUUGGUGAUUUCUGAGGAUGUUACAAACCUACCCCACUUAAAUUGAAUCUCGUCCUCGAGAUUCGACUGAGUCCUGAAGAGAUGGGGAAAUUCCUUCUUUAACGCGUCCUCGCGUUCCCACGUGGCCUCUUCUUCGCCAUGCCUACUCCAUUGCACUCUGCAGAUCCGAACUGCUGUAUUCCUUGUCCUUCUGGUGACAGUGUCCAAAAUCUUGACAGGCACUUCUUGAUACCAAAGGUCCUUUUGCAGGUCUAUUGUUUCCACCGGUACUUGCUCCUCCGGUACUCUCAAGCAUUUUCUCAACUGGGAGACAUGAAAUACCAGGUGUAUAUCCGAC